GGUCAGCUGACACAUCCCUGCCAAUCUCCGGCAGACCCUCCCUCCCAGACCCUCCCACCUCCUGGACAGCAUCCAUGUUGAAGCUGCCUUCAACAUGGAUGCUGUCCAGGAAGUAGGAGGGUCUGGGAGGGAGGGUCUGCUGGAGAUUGGCAGGGAUGUGUCAGCUG